CGCAUCUGUGCAUGCAGCAUAUCAAUAAGCGGAGGAAAAGAAACUAACGAGGAUUCCCCUAGUAACGGCGAGUGAAGCGGGAAGAGCUCAAAUUUGAAAUCUUAAAGGGUUUCCCUUUACGAAUUGUAGUUUAAAGAAGUGUUUUCUGUUGAGGUUUUGGUAAAAGUUCUUUGGAAUAGGACAUCAUAGAGGGUGAGAAUCCCGUAUUUGACCUUUACUUUCAACUUUGUGAUACACUUUCAAAGAGUCGGAUUGUUUGGGAAUGCAGUCCAAAAUGGGUGGUAAAUUUCAUCUAAAGCUAAAUAUUGGCGAGAGACCGAUAGCGAACAAGUACCGUGAGGGAAAGAUGAAAAGAACUUUGAAAAGAGAGUUAAACAGUACGUGAAAUUGUCAAAAGGGAAGCGUUUGACACCAGUGUUGUUUUUCUGAAAAUCAAUUAAAGAACUGUUUAUGCUAAGUUGUUUAGACUUUAUCAGCUAACUGUUUAGUUUUGAGCUUUUCUUUAAUGCACUUUUCAGUUAACAAGUCAACAUCAAUUUCUUUUGCUGUAAAAAAGCUUGAGGAAGGUGGCUUGAGAUUCGUCUUAAGUGUUUAUAGCCUCUUGCCUAUGCAGUCGGAGAGAUUGAGGUCUGCAGCGUAGAUCCUUCGGGGCUAAAUGCAUUUGUGCUAAGUUAUAACAUUUUAUAGACAACUUGUUGACUAUGAUUUGUCUUGUAGCUUACUCGCUUAUGUUAUUUUACCUACGCUUAGGAUGUUGACAGCAGUAUAGACUGU
rnacentral:rRNA from 1 species